UGGCAAAAAUCCCCAGCGGGACGGGUAUCCGCGGGGAUUUACCCGUCACAGGGCAGAUAUGGGGACGAUUUUGUACUCGCGGAAACGGGAGAUGGGGCCUCGUAUAUUAAACGGGACGGGAGCGGGGAUAGAGGUCCCCGCCCCGUGGAGACCCGUUUAAACCCCGUUUAUGUAAAAAGACUAGAAUACCCUUAAUAUAUAUAUUUGUGUGUACUAUGAUAU